UCUGGAGCAACAUGAGUUUCCUGAAACUUGGGAAACUGACCGGGGGAGUGGAGGUGACUUUGAGCAGCAGAUCAGGCAAGGAUGCCCAGAAGCAUGGUACAUUGGGGAAACCGAGCAAAGACUACGACAACAGAUGAAUGGGCACCGCACAACAAUCAACAGACAGGAGUGUUCCGUCCCAGUUGGGGAGGCUUCAGUGGUCCAGGACAUUUGGCCUCAGACCUUCGGAUGACCAUCCUCCAAGAUGAAAGAAGUUAAACUAUCACAGUAUUCUGACAGAUGGAAGACUUAACAGACAAUCAAUUAUUCAAUGUAUAAUUUCAGUAACGUCACACUGUAAAUUUUUGCUAUAAAUUCUGUUACGAUCGAGCCCUCCACUACCACCUGAUGAAGGAGCAACGCUCCAAAAGCUAGUG